AUAAUAAUAAUAAUUUAAGAAAAUAGUUUAGAGCACCAACCAAAACAGUGAUUCUUCUUCAACAAAACUGGCACAACCAAUCACAAUUCACAAAACCCACAUUUUCUGAUUUCAUUUCCUCCAUUAACAAACUCCUUUCCAUUCUAACCGCUUCUGACUUUCUUCCCUUCCGUCCAACUGGGGAACGUUACUUCCCGGCGAUCCCGCAGCCACCGGAGAUCGGCCUCCGCCACCGCCGCCGCCGCCGCCGCCGCCAUGGCCAACGCUGCUGCUAUCCCUACUACUGUACCUUCUCCUUCUUUCGACUUCUCUCCGGACUCCCCUCCCAGGCUGGUUCUGACUCCGGAUCAGUACAAGUACUGCUCCGUAGCUCUCAAAUUUUUCAAGGAUAAGCUCCCUUUGCAUCACCAGAUUAACCAAGAGUUCGCUUCCUUGCAGGCCAAUAGGAUAACACCGUCUGAGAUGAGAAGGAAUUGCACGGUUGCGCUUGACAGUGUCAAUGUGAGCAAGAACCGAUACCCGGAUGUAUUGCCUUUUGACAAUAGUAGGGUAGUUCUCAACCCAUGCAAGGAUUAUAGACCUUCUGCUAGAGGCUAUAUUAAUGCCAGCUUCAUCAAGACUACUCCUGAUGAAGGCAUUUCUCAAUUUAUUGCUACUCAAGGUCCACUUCCCUACACCUAUGAGGAUUUCUGGGAGAUGGUGAUCCAGUGUCACUGCCCUGUGGUUGUGAUGCUUACUCGAUUGGUCGACAACUCCAGGAUGGUAAAAUGCGGAGACUAUUUUCAGGCAGAAGAUGGCCCUAGAGAAUUUGGUAAUAUAUGUAUUAACACUAAGUGGAUAAAACCUACUGAUACUUCUCUAGUGUUGCGCCAUUUGGAAGUGAGCUAUAGGGAGUCAGAGGAAGUUCCCAUGUCUGUUUUGCAUAUCCAAUAUCCUGAGUGGCCUGACCAUGGAGUUCCUGGAGACACAGUUGCAGUUCGUGAAAUUUUUAAAAGAAUACAUCAAAUACCAUCCAAUCUUGGCCCAAUUGUGGUGCACUGCAGGUAUUGGGAGAACUGGAGCAUACUGCACAAUUCACAAUACCAUCCAAAGAAUUCUGGCGGGAGACAUGUCUGCUUUAAAUCUUGUGAAAACCAUAACUAUUUUUAGGUCUCAACGAAUUGGCAUGGUUCAAACACUGGAGCAAUAUUAUUUCUGUCACUUAGCUAUCAUCGAUGAGUUGGAAGAUCUCAUUUCAGAAUUCAGAAGUGAAAGCUGUGCAAGUGUACCGGACCAAUGAUAGCAAUGUGGAGUGGAAGCUAAAACUGCAGCUACUUCCCUACUUAAGAAGUAUGGAAUGGUCCAGGUGGUUGAAUCUGAUGUCUUGUUGUUCAGGCUAAUUUGGGCCAUCUUCAUUUGAUAUGCUCUACCUUCUUUUAAUCUAGAAUCACCAGGGGAGCUUCUUCUUCUUGCUCCUCCUUUUUUUUUUUUUUUUUUUUGAGGUUUCUGCUUUCCUAUGUAAUGAUCCACUGCAGUAGUUAGAAAAAUUACUGUGAACUUAGUUCUUGAUUUCCUACAGGUUGUACAUUUCAAAUUGCUGCUUAUUUUAUAACGCGUUUAUAUCCUUGUGUCUCAA